UACCAGCACCCCGAGUGGUCGGGACGUUUAUUGGGCCUAAAGCAUCCGUAGCCGGUUCUACAAGUCUUCCGUUAAAUCCAACUGAUUAACAGGUGGGCUGCGGAAGAUACUAUAGAGCUAGGAGGCGGGAGAGGCAAGCGGUACUCGAUGGGUAGGGGUAAAAUCCGUUGAUCCAUUGAAGACCACCAGUGGCGAAGGCGGCUUGCCAGAACGCGCUCGACGGUGAGGGAUGAAAGCUGGGGGAGCAAACCGG
rnacentral:rRNA from 1 species